UACGGGGGGGGCAAGCGUUGUUCGGAAUUACUGGGCGUAAAGGGCUCGUAGGCGGCCAACUAAGUCAGACGUGAAAUCCCUCGGCUUAACCGGGGAACUGCGUCUGAUACUGGAUGGCUUGAGAUUGGGAGAGGGAUGCGGAAUUCCAGGUGUAGCGGUGAAAUGCGUAGAUAUCUGGAGGAACACCGGUGGCGAAGGCGGCAUCCUGGACCGACAUUGACGCUGAUGAGCGAAAGCUAGGGGAGCAAACGGG
rnacentral:rRNA from 1 species